rnacentral:lncRNA from 1 species
AUGAAUGGGGCAGCCGAGCUAGGUGUUUUGUCCAGGGAGCAGCUUGUACCUUUGUGCCCAGUCAUCCCAGCUCAAACCAGGCUCCUUCCCAGAAAGCCCCAGCGGCUGGAUGCACAUAUGGCUCUGAGCAAACAGGACAGAUGGCUGCUGGCAAGGGCCACUGCUGAGGCAUAUGCUCUUUUGAUGUCCCUCUGCUCUUCGUGGGUCCGACACGGCGAGUUGCCACAUCUGUGCUGCAGAAGCGCAGCACCUCUGUGAUGUGCCAUUGCCUCUCACAGCUGCGUGUAGCCACAGGAACCGGGGCAAAUACAGGACUGGAAAGGACCUGACUAAGGUGGCAGCUGUUUCAGGCCCCCUGGGGCUCCUGCUACCAUCCCUAGGCAGCGAGACACCCAACUCCUGCACUCCUCUGCCCACAGCCUCAGCCCCACUGAAGAGAAGCACAGCAUCUCCGAUCUUCUGGGAAACCUCCUGACUGACCAACAGCUACGGGAGCCUGACUGGCCUGUGGGCUCCUCCUGGCAACCUGGCUCAUAGCUCGGAGAAGUAAAGUCUUGGCAUCAUCUAAGAAGAGAAAAAGCAAGUUUCUGAGCUU